UAAGGUGACUAUAGCGACGGGGUUCCACCUCUUCCCAUUCCGAACAGAGAAGUUAAGCCCGCCAGCGCCGAUGGUACUGCGAAAGCGGGAGAGCAGGUCGUCGCCGACU
rnacentral:rRNA from 1 species